rnacentral:rRNA from 1 species
UACAGAGGUCCCAAGCGUUGUUCGGAUUCACUGGGCGUAAAGGGUGCGUAGGCGGUCGGGUAAGUCUGAUGUGAAAUCUCACAGCUUAACUGUGAAACUGCAUUGGAUACUAUCCGGCUCGAGGAAUGGAGGGGAGACUGGAAUACUUGGUGUAGCAGUGAAAUGCGUAGAUAUCAAGUGGAACACCAGUGGCGAAGGUGGCUCUUUGGUCUGUAACUGACGCUGAGGCGCGAAAGCGUGGGGAUCAAACAGG